UAAGGAAUAUUGGUCAAUGGACGCAAGUCUGAACCAGCCAUGCCGCGUGAAGGAUGAAGGUCCUCUGGAUUGUAAACUUCUUUUAUCUGGGACGAAACACUUCUUUUCUAAGAGGCCUGACGGUACCAGAUGAAUAAGCACCGGCUAACUCCGUGCCAGCAGCCGCGGUAAUACGGAGGGUGCAAGCGUUAUCCGGAUUCACUGGGUUUAAAGGGUGCGUAGGUGGGCAGGUAAGUCAGUGGUGAAAUCUCCGGGCUUAACCCGGAAACUGCCGUUGAUACUAUUUGUCUUGAAUAUUGUGGAGGUAAGCGGAAUAUGUCAUGUAGCGGUGAAAUGCUUAGAUAUGACAUAGAACACCAAUUGCGAAGGCAGCUUACUACACAAUCAUUGACGCUGAGGCACGAAAGCGUGGGGAUCAAACA
rnacentral:rRNA from 1 species